rnacentral:rRNA from 1 species
GACGAACGCUGGCGGCGCGCUUAACACAUGCAAGUCGAACGGAAAGGCCUGCUUUCCCUUGUGGAUUGCGGGUACUCGAGUGGCGAACGGGUGAGUAACACGUGAGUGAUCUGCCCCCAACUUGGGUAUAAGCCUGGGAAACUGGGUCUAAUUCCCGAUAGGACUGCAGGGUGGUGCCUGUGGUGGAAAACGAUUUUCUAGUGGUUGGGGAUGAGCUCGCGGCCUAUCAGCUUGUUGGUGGGGUAAUGGCCUACGAAGGCGGCGACGGGUAGCCGGCCUGAGAGGGUGGGCGGGCACAUUGGGACUGAGAUACGGCCCAGACGCCUACGGGAGGCAGCAGUGGGGAAUAUGGCACAAGGGGCGGAAGCCUGAUGCAGCGACGCCGCGUGGGGGAUGACGGCCUUCGGGUUGUAAACUCCUUUCGACAGCGAGGAAGCCACCUGGUUGGAAGGGUGGUGACGGUAGUGGUAGAAGAAGCACCGGCUAACUACGUG